rnacentral:rRNA from 1 species
GUCAGGCCUAACACAUGCAAGUCGCAGGGGAAGCCCGCCUUCGGGUGAGUGGAGACUGGCGCACGGGUGAGUAACGCGUGGGAAUCUACCCUGGGGUGGGGGAUAACCGCUGGAAACGGCGGCUAAUACCGCAUACGCCUUGAGAGGGAAAGCUUUAGUGCCCUGGGAGGAGCCCGCGUCCGAUUAGUUAGUUGGUGAGGUAACGGCUUACCAAGGCGACGAUCGGUAGCUGGUCUGAGAGGAUGAUCAGCCACACUGGGACUGAGACACGGCCCAGACUCCUACGGGAGGCAGCAGUGGGGAAUAUUGGACAAUGGGGGCAACCCUGAUCCAGCCAUGCCGCGUGAGUGAAGAAGGCCUUAGGGUUGUAAAGCUCUUUCACCCGUGAAGAUGAUGACGGUAGCGGGAGAAGAAGCCCCGGCUAACUCCGUGCCAGCAGCCGCGGUAAUACGGAGGGGGCGAGCGUUGUUCGGAAUUACUGGGCGUAAAGGGCGCGUAGGCGGACGAUCAAGUCAGGGGUGAAAGGCCUGGGCUCAACCUGGGAACUGCCUUUGAAACUGAUUGUCUAGAGUCCGGGAGAGGAUGGCGGAAUUCCCAGUGUAGAGGUGAAAUUCGUAGAUAUUGGGAAGAACACCGGUUGCGAAGGCGGC